rnacentral:rRNA from 1 species
GGGGAAUAUUGGACAAUGGGCGAAAGCCUGAUCCAGCCAUGCCGCGUGUGUGAAGAAGGUCUUCGGAUUGUAAAGCACUUUAAGUUGGGAGGAAGGGCUGCAAGCUAAUACCUGGUUGGGAUGACGGUACCCAAAGAAUAAGCACCGGCUAACUUCGUGCCAGCAGCCGCGGUAAUACGAAGGGUGCAAGCGUUACUCGGAAUUACUGGGCGUAAAGCGUGCGUAGGUGGUCGUUUAAGUCCGUUGUGAAAGCCCUGGGCUCAACCUGGGAACUGCAGUGGAUACUGGGCGACUAGAGUGUGGUAGAGGGUAGCGGAAUUCCUGGUGUAGCAGUGAAAUGCGUAGAGAUCAGGAGGAACAUCCAUGGCGAAGGCAGCUACCUGGACCAACACUGACACUGAGGCACGAAAGCGUGGGGAGCAAACA